GCAGUAGGGAAUCUUCCACAAUGGGCGCAAGCCUGAUGGAGCAACACCGCGUGAGUGAAGAAGGGUUUCGGCUCGUAAAGCUCUGUUGUUGGAGAAGAACGUGCGUGAGAGUAACUGUUCACGCAGUGACGGUAUCCAACCAGAAAGUCACGGCUAACUACGUGCCAGCAGCCGCGGUAAUACGUAGGUGGCAAGCGUUAUCCGGAUUUAUUGGGCGUAAAGCGAGCGCAGGCGGMCGCUUMGGUCUGAUGUGAAACUUCGGCUUAACCGAAGAAGUGCAUCGGAAACCGGGCGACUUGAGUGCAGAAGAGGACAGUGGAACUCCAUGUGUAGCGGUGGAAUGCGUAGAUAUAUGGAAGAACACCAGUGGCGAAGGCGGCUGUCUGGUCUGCAACUGACGCUGAGGCUCGAAAGCAUGGGUASVVAACAGGACCCGAUACCCUGGUAGUCCAUGCCGUAAACGAUGAGU
rnacentral:rRNA from 1 species